GCCAGACUCCUACGGGAGGCAGCAGUGGGGAAUAUUGCACAAUGGGGGAAACCCUGAUGCAGCGACGCCGCGUGAGCGAUGAAGUAUUUCGGUAUGUAAAGCUCUAUCAGCAGGGAAGAAAAUGACGGUACCUGACUAAGAAGCCCCGGCUAACUACGUGCCAGCAGCCGCGGUAAUACGUAGGGGGCAAGCGUUAUCCGGAUUUACUGGGUGUAAAGGGAGCGUAGACGGUCCUGCAAGCCAGAUGUGAAAGACCGGGGCUCAAACCCGGGAGUGCAUUUGGAACUGUAAGGCUAGAGUGUCGGAGAGGCAGGCGGAAUUCCUAGUGUAGCGGUGAAAUGCGUAGAUAUUAGGAGGAACACCAGUGGCGAAGGCGGCCUGCUGGACGAUGACUGACGUUGAGGCUCGAAAGCGUGGGGAGCAAACAGGAUUAGAUACCCCAGUAUA
rnacentral:rRNA from 1 species